CUCCACUACCCUCCCAGGCCUCAAAUGCCUCACAGGAAGUCUUGGUUUCCACAGGGGGAGGCACCCAGGAUGAGGACCAAGGGAGGAGGCACUCUAGGGAAGGGGAUUGCCAAAUCUUCUUCAGGGGCAGCUGCGUGUAGGCUUCUCAGGAAAACAAUCUAGAAGAGUAGUGAUAUUGGCUCUAAGAAGAGUGAGGAGAAAACAAAUGUAGGCUCCUCCUCCGCCCUUGUCAAAACCUACAAUCUCCCAGGAUACAAAAGAGGGCCAGGGAGGAGCAGGAAGGACACGUUGGGCCCUUGGACUAUUUGCCCCAGGUGAACCAAGUUGCAGAAAGUAGGGGAAAAAAGUAUCCCUCACUUAAUGCCACGCCUCUUCCUUCCCCCAUCCUCCAGUAAAGUCUCCGGACAACAUCUGCACAGAGACCCCUGCAAGUGUCCCCAUCUACCCCCAACUGUCAGACAGGCGCAGAGACAGUCUGGGAGUCCUGGGUCCACCCGGGGCUGGGCGCGCAGCCCUCCGGAGCUUCAGCCUCCUCCUCCUCCACCAGAAGGGGCUGCUACCCGCGGAGUCAGAGGCGGAGCAGAGACUGGGGGAGCUCCGGCGUGAAGAGGGAGUAAGGCUUUGGCAGGCAAGGGGUGUGGGUUCCUUAGGGAGCCUUGGCCGCUCACUGGGCCCAGCCCGGCCCGCUGAGAUGGGCUCCUUCUCCUCUGCGCUGGCGCGGUCCCGCAGCUCCGUGGUGCAGUUGGGCUCGUCGCCACCGCAGCGCGAGGAGCCACAAGCUGCUCCCGCUGCUCCCGCCGCUCGAAGGGACCCAUUCGCCUUCCCUAAGACCCGGAGGCUCGGGCCGGGGCGGGCAGAGACGCCCUACCCGCCGGCAGCCUGGGAGGCUCAGUCGGCCGCGCCCAGCCGCGAAGGAGAGCGCGCGAAGUUAGGGAGUCCGGAGCUGUCCCCGGUGCUGAAGUGUGCAGAGAGUAUGUCCCAGCCCUGCCUGCCCCAAAGCGGUAGCGCCACGGAAGCCAGGGAUGCAGUGGCUGCAGAGGAGUGCCACAGCCCAGGGGAAACUGCAGAGAAACUCGAGGGCACAGGAGAGCAAGGAUAUCUUCAAAAUCAGAGAGAGAAUUCACGAAGCCAAGAGGCAACUCAUGUGAAAAGAAGAAACCCAAUCACCUCCAUUCUUCCAAAUGCCCUUUGCUGUCUAGAGAGGUA
rnacentral:lncRNA from 12 species